rnacentral:rRNA from 1 species
UGACGGCGUGCCUUUUGCAUAAUGAGCCUACGAGUUACGGUCACUGGCCAGGUUAAUGUAUUUGAAUACAGGAGCCGAAGCGAAAGCGAGUCUUAAUAGGGCGAUUAGUCAGUGGCUGUAGACGCGAAACUUGGUGAUCUACCCUUGGUCAGGUUGAAGCGCUGGUAACACAUCGUGGAGGACCGAACCGGUAAACGUUGAAAAGUUUUCGGAUGAACUGAGGGUAGGGGUGAAAGGCCAAUCAAACUAAGAAAUAGCUCGUACUCCCCGAAAUGUUUUUAGGAACAGCGUCGUGGUUGAGUCAUGGUCAGGUAGAGCUACCGAUAGGGCUAGGGGGAGUCAAAUCCUACCAAACUCUGACGAACUCCGAAUGGGCUAUGAUAUACACGGCAGUGAGGGCUGGGGUGCUAAGGUCCCAGUCCGAGAGGGGAACAACCCAGAGCAUCAGCUAAGGUCCCAAAAUAUAUGCUAAGUUGAACUAAGGGGGUCCGACUGCAGAGACAGCCAGGAUGUUAGCUUGGAAGCAGCUAUACAUUUAAAGAGUGCGUAACAGCUCACUGGUCGAGCGGGGCGGGCAUCGAUAAUAAACGGGCAUCAAGCAUAUUACCGAAGCUAUGCGAUAGUAAUUUAUUACGAUCGGUAGGGGAGCAUUCUCACAGGGGUGAAGGUUUGGCGUAAGCUGGGCUGGACUGGUGAGAAAAGCAAAUGUAGGCAUAAGUAACGAUAAUGCGGAUGAGAAAUCCGCACACCGAAAGACUAAGGAUUCCUCCGCUAUGCUAAUCAACGGAGGGUUAGGCGGGGCCUAAGGUAUAGCCGACAGGCGAUUAUCGAUGGACAGCAGGUUAAUAUUCCUGCCCUUGCAAUGAGUGUGAAGGAGUGACGGAGUGGUGUGGUAUGUACGUACUGACGGAAUAGUGCGUUGAGCGGAACCUACGGGCGAAGCGAAUAUACGAAACGGCUUCCAAGAAAAGCUCUUGAAACAUCAGCUUAUUGCAACUCGUACCGUAAACCGACACAGGUAGUCGAGAAGAAUAUUCUAAGGUGCUCGAGUGAAUCACGGCUAAGGAACUCGGCAAAUUAACCCUGUAACUUCGGGAGAAGGGGAGCCUCCUCGCAAGAGAGGCCGCAGAGAAAUGGCCCAGGCGACUGUUUAGCAAAAACACAGGGCUCUGCUAAAACGAAAGUUGACGUAUAGGGCCUGACACCUGCCCGGUGCUGGAAGGUUAAGAGGGGAUGUCAUCGCAAGAGAAGCAUUGAAUCGAAGCCCCAGUAAACGGCGGCCGUAACUAUAACGGUCCUAAGGUAGCGAAAUUCCUUGUCGGGUAAGUUCCGACCUGCACGAAUGGUGUAACGAUCUGGGCACUGUCUCGGCCGUGAGCUCGGUGAAAUUGUAGUAGCGGUGAAGAUGCCGCUUACCCGCCACGGGACGGAAAGACCCCGUGCACCUUUACUAUAGCUUUGCAUUGUUUUCGGGUCAGGGAUGUGUAGGAUAGGUGGGAGGCUUUGAAGUUGUGUCGCCAGGCAUGAUGGAGCCAACGUUGAAAUACCACCCUUCGCUGGCCUGGGAUCUAAUCCCGCAGAAGUGGGAGACCGUGCAUGGUGGGUAGUUUGACUGGGGUGGUCGCCUCCAAAAGUGUAACGGAGGCUUCCAAAGGUUUGCUCAAUACGGUUGGUAAUCGUGUGUGGAGUGCAAUAGUACAAGCAAGCUUGACUGCGAGACCGACGGGUCGAGCAGGUGGGAAACCAGGGUAUAGUGAUCCGGUGGUUCUGUAUGGAAGGGCCAUCGCUCAAAGGAUAAAAGGUACGCCGGGGAUAACAGGCUGAUCUCCCCCAAGAGCUCACAUCGACGGGGAGGUUUGGCACCUCGAUGUCGGCUCGUCACAUCCUGGGGCUGGAGAAGGUCCCAAGGGUUCGGCUGUUCGCCGAUUAAAGUGGCACGCGAGCUGGGUUCAGAACGUCGUGAGACAGUUCGGUCCCUAUCUGUGGUGGGCGUAGGAAGAUUGACGGGGGCUGACCUUAGUACGAGAGGACCGGGUUGGACCUACCGCUGGUGAGCCGGUUGUUACGCCAGUAGCAUGGCCGGGUAGCUAUGUAGGGAAUAGAUAAGCGCUGAAAGCAUCUAAGUGCGAAACUAGCCUGAAGAUGAAUCUUCCACAUAAGGGUUGUUGUAGACUACGACGUUGAUAGGCUGCAGGUAUACGUAUAGAAAUAUAUUCAGCCGAGCAGUACUAAUUACCCAAUAGCUUGCACU